GUGUUUCCUCCCUGUCCUCCCUGGAUUCCCUUUGGGACUCCCUCAAUGAGGCAGUCUCUGAAGUGGCUAUCGAGGAGGAAGAGCCACAGGAAGUACCAGAGAGCCCCCCAGAGGAGGACGGGGAGGACAAGGAGGACAAGGAGGCCCUUUAUUCGCCGUGCCCCCCACCUGGAGAACACCUGGAGGCAAGCAUAAUCGAGAUCUCUCCAAGGCUGACCAC